rnacentral:rRNA from 1 species
GACGAACGCUGGCGGCGUGCCUAAUACAUGCAAGUUGAGCGCUUAAGGUUGGUACUUGUCCCAACUGGAUGAGCAGCGAACGGGUGAGUAACGCGUGGGGAAUCUGCCUUUGAGCGGGGGACAACAUUUGGAAACGAAUGCUAAUACCGCAUAAAAACUUUAAACACAAGUUUUAAGUUUGAAAGAUGCAAUUGCAUCACUCAAAGAUGAUCCCGCGUUGUAUUAGCUAGUUGGUGAGGUAAAGGCUCACCAAGGCGAUGAUACAUAGCCGACCUGAGAGGGUGAUAGGCCACAUUGGGACUGAGACACGGCCCAAACUCCUACGGGAGGCAGCAGUAGGGAAUCUUCGGCAAUGGACGAAAGUCUGACCGAGCAACGCCGCGUGAGUGAAGAAGGUUUUCGGAUCGUAAAACUCUGUUGGUAGAGAAGAACGUUGGUGAGAGUGGAAAGCUCAUCAAGUGACGGUAACUACCCAGAAAGGGACGGCUAACUACGUG